GCACAGUGGUGGACUGAUGACAGCCCUUGUCUGUGGGCCUUUCAUAGUGUGCCAGGGCCAGAGGUGCAUGCAGCCCCAAACCAUUGCCCAACUUCCUCACCAGUGGGCUGUGAACACUGAAGAGGGCUGUACAGUG
ensembl:snoRNA